GACGAACGCUGGCGGCGUGCUUAACACAUGCAAGUCGAACGGAAAGGCCCUGCUUUUGUGGGGUGCUCGAGUGGCGAACGGGUGAGUAACACGUGAGUAACUUGCCCUUGACUUUGGGAUAACUUCAGGAAACUGGGGCUAAUACCGGAUAGGAGCUCCUGCUGCAUGGUGGGGGUUGGAAAGUUUCGGCGGUUGGGGAUGGACUCGCGGCUUAUCAGCUUGUUGGUGGGGUAGUGGCUUACCAAGGCUUUGACGGGUAGCCGGCCUGAGAGGGUGACCGGCCACAUUGGGACUGAGAUACGGCCCAGACUCCUACGGGAGGCAGCAGUGGGGAAUAUUGCACAAUGGGCGGAAGCCUGAUGCAGCAACGCCGCGUGCGGGAUAACGGCCUUCGGGUUGUAAACCGCUUUCGCCUGUGACGAAGCGUGAGUGACGGUAAUGGGUAAAGAAGCACCGGCUAACUACGUG
rnacentral:rRNA from 1 species